rnacentral:rRNA from 1 species
GACGUAGGGCGCGAGCGUUGUCCGGAUUUUAUUGGGCGUAAAGAGCUCGUAGGCGGCUUUGUCGCGUCGACUGUGAAAACCCGCGGCUCAACUGCGGGCUUGCAGUCGAUACGGCAGGCUAGAGUUCGGUAGGGGAGACUGGAAUUCCUGGUGUAGCGGUGAAAUGCGCAGAUAUCAGGAAGAACACCCGUGGCGAAAGCGGCUCUCUGGAACGGUACUGACGCUGAAGACGCGAAAAGCGUGGGGAGCGAACAGG